AGUGAAACCAACCUAAAAGUGAAGCAGGCCGUCUCCGCUACCAGUGACAUGGAGGAUAACCUGGAGCUGCUGUCUGCCUUUAACGGAGAAGUUCGGUGCGAACCUCCCAACAACAAGCUGGACAGGUUUUCCGGAACACUGAGCUACCUGGGGGACACCUACUUCCUGGACUAUGAGCGGCUCCUGCUCCGAGGCUGCAUCAUCCGGAACACAGACUGGUGCUAUGGCUUGGUGGCAGGCAUUUCUCCCAUGGGAGCGCUAUAUUACUUCAUCAGCUGCGAGCUCUGCCCUCGCUUUCUGGUCCUACUUCAUAGUGCUCAACACCAUGGUACCCAUUUCCCUCUAUGUCAGUGUGGAAAUAAUAAGACUGGGCAACAGUUACUAUAUCAACUGGGAUCGAAAGAUGUUUUAUGCCCCAAAGAACACCCCAGCACAGGCUCGUACCACCACUCUUAAUGAGGAGCUUGGCCAAGUUGAAUAUGUGUUCUCUGACAAAACAGGAACCCUGACUGAGAAUGUGAUGAUUUUCAACAAAUGUUCUAUCAAUGGGAAGACUUAUGGUUACUCCUACGACGAAAAUGGACAGUGUGUGCCAAAAUCUCCAGUGAGUAAUGCAGCUUCUUGUGACUUACGUGGGGGAAGUCAGGGCAGAAGUCUCUUUAACACAAUUCAGUCUCGACUCCUCAAAUAAUGAGAUUUUGGUGGCCUAAUGUUUUUUCUUAAAUUAUGUACAUGGCCUGUCUUUAUUUGAGAAAUUUUUGAAAGU
rnacentral:lncRNA from 1 species